CUGGUUCCACAAGGCUUCAGUGCUGUCUGCUCUGGAGCUGCAAAAGCAGCACCGUGAUUUAUAGUCUUUCUUUGGAGAUACUUUGGUGCAUCCAAAAUCAACUUCCUGCCUGAGUUGCACUAGACAAGUAGAGAAGUCGGUAGAUACUCUGACACUUUGCAAAAUGGAAAUAACCUGUGUUUGUUCAGGUGGAAAAGGGAUGGACUCGAAGGUGCAGCAGAAGGAGUAAAAGGCCAUGGCGAGGCUGUCUCAGGUGGGAGGGAGCCAGAAGACGAGGCAAGAGGUGAGGAGUGACAGAAACACUUGGAGGGGGAAGUGCUGGCACAUCCAGGCUGUUCUCUUCUGCGUGUCACCUGACUGUGAAUGAUGCACUAAAAAUGGACGGGCUCUUACAGUCACGCAUCAACCAGACGAGGUGGAAUCUUAAAUAUUCCAGCAGCUUUUGGAAAUUUGCUGUCUAGUUUGUCUCGGUAGCUUCAUUCACCCUCUUGUGAGUUUGGUUAAACCACAGCUGCACUGAUCCUCUCAUACAAUGGCAGGUUCCAGCUGUCUGAAGGAGAUCAAAGAUGGAAGAGAGAAGCCUGGCUGCCUCCAGCCUGGAAAUUCAAUGCAGUCGAGUCGAUGUGGCUGUGGUGUCCGUGAGCCU